rnacentral:rRNA from 1 species
UACAGAGGGGGCGAGCGUUGUUCGGAAUUACUGGGCGUAAAGGGCGCGUAGGCGGCCAACUAAGUCAGACGUGAAAAUCCCUCGGCUCAACCGGGGAACUGCGUCUGAUACUGGAUGGCUUGAAUUCGGGAGAGGGAUGCGGAAUUCCAGGUGUAGCGGUGAAAUGCGUAGAUAUCUGGAGGAACACCGGUGGCGAAGGCGGCAUCCUGGACCGAGAUUGACGCUGAUGCGCGAAAGCCAGGGGAGCAAACGGGG